GACGAACGCUGGCGGCGUGCCUAAUACAUGCAAGUCGAGCGGACGAAUCGAAAGCUUGCUUUUGAUUCGUUAGCGGCGGACGGGUGAGUAACACUUGGGCAACCUGCCCUGUAGACGGUGAUAACACCGAGAAAUCGGUGCUAAUACCUGAUAACACGAACUCUCGCAUGACGUUUCGUUUAAAGACGGCGCUAGCUGUUGCUACAGGAUGUGCCCGCGGCGCAUUAGCUAGUUGGUGAGGUAACGGCUCACCAAGGCUACGCUGCGUAGCCGACCUGAGAGGGUGAUCGGCCACACUGGGAAUGAGACACGGCCCAGACUUCUACGGGAGGCAGCAGUAGGGAAUCUUCCGCAAUGGACGAAAGUCUGACGGAGCAACGCCGCGUGAGCGAAGAAGGCCUUCGGGUCGUAAAGGUCUGUUGUUAGGGAAGAACAAGUAACGCAGUAACUGGCGUUACCGUGACGGUACCUAACGAGAAAGCCACGGCUAACUACGUG
rnacentral:rRNA from 1 species